rnacentral:rRNA from 1 species
CGCGGCCUAUCAGCUUGUUGGUGGGGUAACGGCCUACCAAGGCGAUGACGGGUAGCGGGUCUGAGAGGAUGGUCCGUCACACUGGGACUGAGACACUGCCCAGACUCCUACGGGAGGCUGCAGUCGAGAAUCUUCCACAAUGGGCGAAAGCCUGAUGGAGCGACACCGCGUGCAGGAUGAAGGCCUUAGGGUUGUAAACUGCUGUCACGCUAUAGGAACUGUCGGUAGUGAAUAGUUAUCGGCCUGACCAAAGCGAGAGGAAGCGCCGGCUAACUCCGUGCCAGCAGCCGCGGUAAUACGGAGGGCGCAAGCGUUGUUCGGAUUCACUGGGCAUAAAGAGCACGUAGGCGGCUCGCUCAGUCGGGUGUGAAAGCCCACGGCCCAACCGUGGAACUGCACCCGAUACUGGCGAGCUCGAGGACGGAAGGGGUGAGUGGAACUCCAGGUGGAACGGUGAAAUGUAUAGAUAUCUGGAGGAACACCGGUGGCGAAAGCGGCUCACUGGUCCGUCUCUGACGCUGAGGUGCGAAAGCCAGGGUAGCGAACGGGAUUAGAUACCCCGGUAGUCCUGGCCGUAAACGAUGGGCACUAGGCAAUGGGUUUACCUAUGUGAUUCAUUGCCGUAGUUAAUGUGUUAAGUGCCCCGCCUGGGGAGUACGG